ACCUGGCUGGCUCAGUCGGAGAGCAUGUGACUCUUGAUCUCAAGGUUGUGAGUUUGAGUCCUACAUUGGGUG
rnacentral:tRNA from 1 species